UACGUAGGGAGCAAGCGUUGUCCGGAAUUAUUGGGCGUAAAGAGCUCGUAGGCGGCUUGUCACGUCGGGUGUGAAAGCCCGGGGCUUAACCCCGGGUCUGCAUUCGAUACGGGCUAGCUAGAGUGUGGUAGGGGAGAUCGGAAUUCCUGGUGUAGCGGUGAAAUGCGCAGAUAUCAGGAGGAACACCGGUGGCGAAGGCGGAUCUCUGGGCCAUUACUGACGCUGAGGAGCGAAAGCGUGGGGAGCGAACAGG
rnacentral:rRNA from 1 species